UUCAACAAAGAAAGACAUCCAUGAACUUUUCUCAUUGCCUGCAUGGAGUCAGAGAUCACUGGUGGCCUUGAUCAUACAAGCUUGAUGCUACCUUUUAAAAACAUAAUUGGUUGAAGUUAAAGGAAAGGGUAAAUAUGCAUGGAAACAUCAAACUGAGGCAUUCAUCAGUGCAAUCGAAAGCUGGCAAAUGGGGCCUGUGUAUCCAGGGCCAACGGCCUUGUGGUUUCACAACAAGUGCUGUUUCACGUGUCUUUCCAUUAUUCUCAGGGGAAAGUAUGAACACAGUCCCCCACUAUAACAAAUUAUACACUCAGGUUUCCUACAUUUGGGGAUCUCACAGGGAUCAGGAAUGUAAUGGAUAAGCCUGACCCUGGAAAGACCACCUGUGUGAUCAUGGCAUCUCCCCUUCCAGGUCUGCAGGCUGGGAAGUUCAAGAUCAUGGUGUUGGUAGAUUUGUUUUCUGAUAAAGGCAUGCUUUCUGGUUCAUGGAUGGCCAUCCUCUGGCUGUAUUCUCACAUGGUGGAAAAGAUGUGUUGCUUGGAGUUGCUUCAGCCAUUUUGAAAAUGAGACAAAUGGAAAAAAUAAAUAAAUAAAAGGGCACCUUAGUG